UAGUAAAGAUUUUAUCAAUUUCUAUUAUUAAAAACUAGUGUUGGUGACAGAAUAAUGAGAUAAUUAUAUGUGGUGUGCCAUGUGUACUUCAUUUUGACAUAUAUUUAUUGACCAAAUUUUAAUUAUUAAAAUGGAUGAAAUUUUUAAUA
rnacentral:pre_miRNA from 1 species